rnacentral:miRNA from 2 species
AUGUGACCGAUAUAAUGGGCAU